UCGAAUAAUCGUAUCUCCUCUUCCCAAAUUGUCCAUUUAUGUGCACAAUCUGAGCGUCAAUUAGGGAGGCUUUACUGUAAAACUGUUUGGAACAUCGUUAUGUUCGAUCCACCUAGGUAAUAUAAGAGACCCCCUUAUAAUUCAAAUUGCUUUGAAGUACUCAUUCUGGGAUGUCGAACCGAUGUUUUCCAUUUCUCGUAGGUCUCGUGACUUGUGUCGUACAAGCAGUCCAAGUUUCCACCUCUCUCGGCGGUCACGACCUCUAAAACUGUAACACGGUCGACCCUUAGUGUUGGACUCGUUCAAUUGAGUGGGUCAGAAUGAUAGUGGCCCAAUCGUGUUCCGACUUGGCGGAUUACCAAAUUCGGCGAUGUUAUAAAAUUGUGGACAGACGUAUUCCGCCUUGCCGAAGGUGCUCAGAACAUUGUCCCAUGGGCCACAGUAGAACGACUUUCCCUCGUGAACGACCAACAGGUCGUCGAACUUCGAUAUCAUCCGACUGCUGGGUUGGUGGACGGUGCAGGCAACUGUACAGCCGAAUCUCGCCAUUCUAUGCAGUAAACUGAUCACCUGUGCAAAAUGGUUUCGUUGAAAUCUUUUUUCUCGCUCGUCCCAUUCCAAUCGUUGGACUGUGGAUGUUCCUCAUUGUAAUGCUGCAUAUUAAGGAACUUCUUUCAGAGUCAAGACGGAAAAGGUCAAUAUAGAAAAACAGAACUUGCCGGUGCAGUUUAUCGUCUGCGAUUUACUACACAACAUAUAUUAUUCAUUGUAAAGGACCUGCCACGAGGAAGUGCUGUCAAGGCCGCUGGUUGGUUCGUCGAGCAACAACAGCGACGGUCUCGUCACCAUUUCUAUUCCUAUCGACAGCCUUUUGCGUUCCCCGCCGCUCAGAUUCUCCACCAACGUGUCCAAACAGUUCAACAGCCAUCGGCGUUGCACGCGUAUACGCGAUCUGAUGUUUUAUGGGUGAACACUGUCAUAACAACCGAGCGACAUUUUUUAAUAUCUCAUGGGUGGACUUUUUAACGUCUCAUCACGCAUUCGUGUCAAAAAUGAUUACAGUUAUUCUCCCAGAAAUGUUUUUGGUCGGAAUCGAAACAUGCCGAUCUGAGAAUACUGAGGCAUGAUUCUUCAAGCCUCGUGGCGACCCCUCGUGAGAGAGGCCAGCAUGCCGGUAUACAGGGUGUUCCAAAAAUGUCUCGCAAUCCGGAAAUGGCGGGUUCCUCAGAUCAU